AUAGCCUUGUAAAAAGACAGGAAAACAAAUUGUACUAAAAGUUAGAAAAAUAUUUUUAUCAUGAUUGUUCGAUAGAAUAAAAAUAGAGGUAAAAAAGACAACAGUAGAUUACCGGUGUUCAAAAGUCAUAAAUCCAGGUUACAAAUCUUAACCAAACCGAGGGAAACACAUCAACUACAGGAGGAAAUCAAAGUAACAACAUGAUCAUUGAAGCGCAAAAAAAA
rnacentral:lncRNA from 1 species